rnacentral:rRNA from 1 species
CCUACGGGGGGCCGCAGUGGGGAAUAUUGGACAAUGGGGGGAACCCUGAUCCAGCCAUGCCGCGUGUGUGAAGAAGGCCCUCGGGUUGUAAAGCACUUUCAGUGAGGAAGAACGCCUGGUGGUUAAUACCCAUCAGGAAAGACAUCACUCACAGAAGAGGCACCGGCUAACUCCGUGCCAGCAGCCGCGGUAAUACGGAGGGUGCGAGCGUUAAUCGGAAUUACUGGGCGUAAAGCGCGCGUAGGUGGCUUGAUAAGCCGGUUGUGAAAGCCCCGGGCUCAACCUGGGAACGGCAUCCGGAACUGUCAAGCUAGAGUGCAGGAGAGGAAGGUAGAAUUCCCGGUGUAGCGGUGAAAUGCGUAGAGAUCGGGAGGAAUACCAGUGGCGAAGGCGGCCUUCUGGACUGACACUGACACUGAGGUGCGAAAGCGUGGGUAGCAAACAGGAUUAGAUACCCGAGUAGUC